AUACUUACCUGGCAGGAGCGAUACCAUCAUCACGAAGGUGGUUUUCUGAGGGCAAGGCUUAUCCAGUGCAAAAAGGGGAUGCUGACCUCUGCAGUUUCCCCAACUGUGGGAAACUCAACUGCACAAUUUGGGGUGGAGGACUGUGUUCACACUUCCAAAAA